rnacentral:lncRNA from 1 species
AUGAAGAAAAAGCACGUUUGCAGCUUAAAUUGCCUCGAGGCUGAAAUGCAGGGCUCAGCGCUGUCUCGUUUCCUUCACUUUAGCGGCAGUUCCGCACUUUGUUGCCUUUUAUUGAGAGUUGGAUUGAACGAUGUCUCAAUGAAAGUGAAAACAAACGUUAUUCCAGUCACACCUCUCUGGGGAAUGUUUCUAACGAUGAAAGGGGCAUGCGUCCACUAACGAAGACUACAAGGAUAUCCACUGAUUUCUUGCAUAGUAUCAUACUUACUCUCCUAGAUAUUUUUACAGUUCAUAGGGUUUUAGGACAAGAGCUAUAGUUUUGCUGGCUUCCUUUUCUACAUGUGGAAUAUAGAACCAUCCAAACAUUGGGCUGCAGAGGUCCUUCUUCCAUGCUCCUCCUGACCUCCAGGCUUAUUGAACCUGCACUGCAUUGUGAAGUAAUGACUUGUUGAUGUGGAUUCCCAUUGUCUUGCUGCUUCUUGGGACACUUCUUACCCUCCUGGGACCUUUAAUGCCCUGUCCUAAACCAGCAUUUUCAUUCCAAUAUAAAAAUUCUACAAUAAUUUUAUUUCAGUUUCUGGUUUUCUAAAUACUUCUCCUUCCACCACUUCUACACUCUAAAUGUUAGUCAAAAGACCAACAGGAAAAUGGCAUAGUGUAACCUCAUGUAAUAUUUAAAAGAAAAAAAUCUUUUCUGUAUACUGUGUUGAGCAAGAUUCUCCAAAAAUAAAAUAAAGGUGUGAAAGAAUGAUUCA